rnacentral:rRNA from 1 species
CUCAGGAUGAACGCUAGGCGGCAGGCUUUAAUACAUGCAAGGUUCGUGGGGCAGCAUGAGUAGCAAUACUUGAUGGCGACCGGACAAACGGGUGAGGAACACGUACACAACCUUCCUUCAAGGCGGGAAUAGCCCAGAGAAUUUGGAUUAAUACCCCAUAAUAUAUUUGAUAAGGCAUCUUAUUAAUAUUAAAGCUUCGGCACUUGAUGAUGGGUGUGCGGCUGAUUAGAUAGUUGGCGGGGUAACGGCCCACCAAGUCUACGAUCAGUAGCUGAUGUGAGAGCAUGAUCAGCCACACGGGGCACUGAGACACGGGCCCGACUCCUACGGGAGGCAGCAGUAAGGAAUAUUGGACAAUGGACGAAAGUCUGAUCCAGCCAUGCCGCGUGAAGGAUUAAGGUCCUCUGGAUUGUAAACUUCUUUUAUAUGGGACGAAAAAAGGGCAUUCUUGUUCACUUGACGGUACCAUAUGAAUAAGCACCGGCUAACUCCGUG